ensembl:lncRNA
GGGGAGGAGAGGCACUGAAAUCAGAAUAAUAAUCAGACCACUUCAUUGAAUCCAGAGGAAAUUAUGUGCUGCAGCUCAUGAAGAAAGUCGAACCUCUACAACCGAGAGUAAAAGCAGAAAGGACAGAAACGUGAAUGCUUCUGGUACACAGCAAAACUGAAGACGGAUGUGAGCGAAUGCAUCCCCAGAUUCACCUUGAAUGCUGAAACUGAGGAAGCUUUCGGGUGACCUCGACAUGAGGUGAACAUGCAACCCUCUCAGCUGGAAUCAGAUGCGCUUCCAUUGCACCACAAGGUCCCACUUGCACACCUUCUUUUCCUCUCUACACAAGUUGUUAAAUGCAGGCCUGUAAAAGGACUAAUUUGACCGGUCAACAGAACUAGGACUACCAAAAGACACCACAAGGCCAGCCAAAAAUAAGCCAGCGGAUACCAAGACCUCCUCACUGGUCAACAUGAAGCUAAGUGUUUUGGGUAUGUCAAACUGGGAGACCAAGGACCCAGUGGAGAGGCUAUGCCUCUCAGCUGGUGUGAGAACACCUCAGUGUCCCCCAGCAAAAGGUGGAGGUUGGAGGAGGUGGCUCUGGAGAGGAAUGUGCAGCAUUUAUUUUACCACUCUGCUGGCUCCAUAGUUCUGUCCAACAUGUUUCCUAAACAAACAACCCCAGAAAUUCAUUGACCCAGAUGUGAUGAGAAAACAGAUCACACAAUUUUGUCACAAGGUCCAGUUGGUAGCCAAAAAAAGUUUAGGGAGUUUUGGAAAUAGAUAAAGUUGUUCUUGAACAAAAAAAACUUCUUCAAUUGUCAACUCAACAAUGUGUAGUAACAGAACAGUGCCUUCAGCUUCGACUUGGAAGUUGAAGGCACUCAUUUUGACCUUGGCAUGAGUUGAACACACAACCUUCUGAGCUGAAAUCAGAUGCGCUACCAUUGCGCCACGAGGCAAGACACAUGAGCUGGAAAAGUUUAUGGAAUUUUUUUCUCAUUGAAAAACUUCAAGACUUCAGUAAAUCUGAACUUUUUGUUUUUGAAGCCUGACGAGUCAGAAAUGGAACCCCCCAGUACACCACCAGUUUCAUAUUUUGAAGGGGUUGGUUGGGUCGGGUAAAUUGACUGAUUUUCAGUUACAACCUUGUUUUCAUGCUCUCAUUAUAGCAAAGGGUCUGCUUGUCCCGCAACAUAAUUAAUAUGGGCCAUGAACACUACUACAAAGAAGGACGUCAAAGCAAGAGUAUACCUGCUGCUUGGACUGUGGCAUUUCCUUAGACUCUGGUAACACAGGGUUGUUUUUUUGUAGCCAUUUCCCCCAUUGCCCGAUUUUAAAAAUGGCUGUUUUAAUUUUCGUAAACUAGACGCUGCCAGCUGAGGUUCUUUCUAAUAGUUGAGAAAGUGGAGUGGGUAGGGGUGAGCUGUUGUUACUUUUAACCCAUCGUUUUCUCCUGUUUUUGGAUAGGACAAGGAGGUCAGACUCUGUCUUUGUUUUGCUUCUUUUUUCUCUCCAUGGGGUUAUAAGUGCGGGCAUCAUAGCUUAGCUUUGUGCUGUUUAUCAUUUUGGCCUCGGCUGACGCUGAAGUGUUGAUGCUCCUGUUCUGUUGUUUUCCCUCAGUACUUCAUAAAUAAACGCCAUGUAAUAAUCAGUGUUUGUUUCCUGUGGCUGCUUGGGUCUUGGGGGGUCAAUAGACUAUGUGCC